GAUGAACGCUGGCGGCGUGCCUAAUACAUGCAAGUCGAGCGAACAGACGAGGAGCUUGCUCCUCUGACGUUAGCGGCGGACGGGUGAGUAACAUGUGGAUAACCUACUUAUCAGACUGGGAUAAUCUCGGGAAACCGGAGCAAAUCCCGGAUAAUCUAUUGAACCGCAUGGUUCAAUAGUGAAAGACGGUUUUUCUGGCUCUUAUAGAUGCAUCCGCGCUGCAUUAGCUGGUUGGUAAGGUAAAGGCUUAUCAAGGCGACGAUGCGUAGCCGACGGGAGAGAGUGAUAGGCCGCACUGGAAGUUAGACACGGACAAGACGCCUACGGGACGCAGCAGUAUGGAAUCUGCCGCAGUAGGGGAGAGCAUGACGGAGCAGCGCCGAGUGAGUGAUAAAGAUCUUCGGAGCGUAAAGCCCUGUUAUUGGGUAAAAACAAAUGUGUAAGGAACUGUGCACGUAUUGACGGUACCGAAUAAAAAAGCAACGGCUAACUACGUG
rnacentral:rRNA from 1 species